rnacentral:rRNA from 1 species
UACGGGGGGGGCAAGCGUUGUUCGGAAUUACUGGGCGUAAAGGGUUCGUAGGUGGCUUGCUAAGUCAGACGUGAAAUCCCUCAGCUUAACUGGGGAACUGCGUCUGAUACUGGCGAGCUUGAGUGCAGGAGAGGAACGCAGAAUUCCAGGUGUAGCGGUGAAAUGCGUAGAUAUCAGGAGGAACACCGGUGGCGAAGGCGGAUCUCUGGGCCUUACCUGACGCUGAGGCGCGAAAGCUAGGGGAGCGAACAGG